GUGCUCACUUCAGUUGCACAUAUACUAAAAUUGGAAUGAUACACACAAAAUUAGCAUGGCCCCUGCGCAAGGAUGACACACAAAUCCAUGAAGCGUUCCAUAAUUUU
ensembl:snRNA U6 U6 spliceosomal RNA